UCUCACCUGAAGAGCGAGCAGCAUGGCGCCUCAGUUGUUUGUCAGCGGACCCCGAGGGGAGAGUUUGGUCCUCGACGUGUGUCACAAUGACGAGCAGUUCAGGAAAAUGUCCGUUGAGGAUCUGAAAAAGACACUUAAAAAGGAACUGAAAUUGACCAGUGAGUUCCGUGUUUGCCAUCAGAACAAGAAAUUGACAGAGACUGCAAUGCUGUCUGAACAUGGGCUCCGACACAUGUCCACCAUCCAAGUCCUGCUGCUGCUGCCUGGUGGACACCUGUGAUGCAUCUGCUGUCAACGCUGCAGCAAAAGCUUCAUCUGGGCUCAUUCAAUGCUUGAGCUGAUCGCUUGUGAUAAAUAUAGCAAUCAGACUUUUCUCCUCCUCCAUGAAUUUGAUGUAAAUGUGCCAAACUACACUGAAUGACAGCACUAACUUGGGCAGCUUGGUACUUUGUCCCUUACAGACAAUCGAAUCAUUGCCCGCUGUCUGGGAAAUAGCUUGGUGUGCUUUCACAAAGCAUGAGCGAACAGGUUUCGGACAUAUUUCUGUACGAUGAGUGACCAUGAGUGCACCAUCAAUGAAAAACAAUAAAGCCUGAAACACA